rnacentral:rRNA from 1 species
GACGAACGCUGGCGGCGUGCUUAACACAUGCAAGUCGAACGGAAAGGCCCUGCUUGCAGGGUACUCGAGUGGCGAACGGGUGAGUAACACGUGGGUGAUCUGCCCUGCACUUCGGGAUAAGCCCGGGAAACUGGGUCUAAUACCGGAUAGGAGCCAUUUUUAGUGUGAUGGUUGGAAAGUUUUUUCGGUGUAGGAUGAGCUCGCGGCCUAUCAGCUUGUUGGUGGGGUAAUGGCCUACCAAGGCGGCGACGGGUAGCCGGCCUGAGAGGGUGGACGGCCACAUUGGGACUGAGAUACGGCCCAGACUCCUACGGGAGGCAGCAGUGGGGAAUAUUGCACAAUGGGCGCAAGCCUGAUGCAGCGACGCCGCGUGGGGGAUGACGGCCUUCGGGUUGUAAACUCCUUUCGCUAGGGACGAAGCUUUUUGUGACGGUACCUAGAUAAGAAGCACCGGCUAACUACGU